CACUCUCCCUCUCUCUCUCUCUAUAUUAUAAGAGAAAUGCUAAGUGUCUCUCUCUCUCUCUCUAGCACUGCACUUACUCUCUCUCUCUCUAGCAUUGCACUUAUUAUAAGUACUCCUACAAUGUUCUCUCAUACGAAACAUAUUGGCCAAUAAGUGACCACAAACCUAUAACCUCUCUCUCUCUCUCUCUCUCUCUCUCUCUCUCUCUCUCUCUCUCUCUCAGAUAUUAUAGAAACAGUUCCAAAACCAUGAAGGUUAAAGUAGAGAGCUCAAAGAUCCUCAAGCCUCUCUGCGAAGGAUAUUACCCUUCCACCGAUCAUGCCUACAUCCCCCUAAGCGUCUUCGACACCGUCACCUUCGACACGCACGUCGCCGUUCUCUACGCCUUCCGCCCACCGAGCCCUUCGAACUCUGCGAUACAGUCGGGCCUCGCCAGAGCGCUCGCCGUCUACCGAGAGUGGGCCGGUCGGCUCGGAGCCGACGAGGACGGCAACCCCGUAAUCCUCCUCAACGACGAGGGCGUGAGGUUGGUCGAGGCUUCUGUAGAUUUGCCGCUGUGUCGUGCCGUGCCGUUCAAGCCGUCGGCCGCGCUACUGAGCCUGCACCCCGGCGUGGACGGCGUGGCCGAGCUGGUGCAGGUCCAGCUGACGCGGUUCGCCUGCGGGUCGCUCGUAGUUGGGUUCACCGCGCACCACCACGUCGCCGACGGCCACGCCACCAGCAACUUCCUCGUCGCCUGGGGCCUGGCGUCGCGCGGCCUGGCGAUCCCCCCGCGGUCCCCUCUGCGCGACCGGGCGACACUCUUCGCCCCCCGCGAUCCCCCGAGGGUCGAAUUCGAGCACCGCGGCGUAGAAUUCACCACCCGAAAGCAACUCGCCGUCCUGAAGGACGAGAAUCCGUCCGACGGAAACCCGCCUGACAUCGCCGUCCACAAGGCGCACUUCACCCGCGAGUUCCUGACCAGCCUCAAGGCGAAGGCGUCCCUCGGGGCCCACCGGCAAUUCACCACCUUCGAGUGUCUGGUGGCGCACCUCUGGCGGGCCGUGACGAAGGCCCGCACUCUUCCCAACCACCAAAUAACUUUCUUACGAAUAUCAGUGAAUGGCCGCAUGCGAAUCAAACCGCGGGUGCCGAAGGAGUUCUUCGGCAAUUGCGUCCUCUGGGCAUUCCCCCGCGCUGCUGCGGGGGAGCUAGUGAGCCGGCCGCUGCGGCACGCGGCCGGGCUCAUCCACGAGGCGGUCGCGGGGGUCGACGACGCGUACUUCAGGUCGUUCGUCGACUUCGCAUCGUCGGGGGGGGCGAAAGCGGAGGGGCUGGUGCCGACGGCCGAAGCAGCGAAGGUGGUGAUGUGUCCGAACCUGGAGCUGGACAGCUGGCUAGGGUUUCCGUUCUACGACCUGGAUUUUGGAGGGGGGAGCCCCUUCUAUUUCAUGCCCACGUACUCUCCCAUGGAGGGGACCCUUUUCCUGUUGCCCUCGUUCAUGGGGGAUGGGAGUGUGGAGGCCUACGUCUCGCUCUUCGACCACAGCAUGGCCUCGUUCAAGAGGAUAUGCCACUCCCUCGACUACUAAACUCGGCGACGAUUAGUAUAAGGAGCCACAGUAAGUGCCGAGUUUACCAAAACCCACGCUGUGGUUAAAAUUAUUCAUGCAUGCAUGCAUGCGGAGGCUCAUUUUUUUUAUCGUGAGUUGUGUAUAUAUGCACCAGUUGGACCAGCUACAUAUAUAGGUAUUAAAUAUAUAAUAUUUUAUGGCUAAUAAUUUAAUAAUUUUCCUACCAUAUAACGAAUCUGUUCCUUGUGGAAUUUAAUUAUGUAAAAGUUAAUGUAUAAACUUAGCUGAAACUAUUUUGAUUUUACUGCUUAAUUUUUUAAAUUAUGUUAAUUUGAACCAAUUAAUUGUUCUUCUA